UCUAUGGAGAGUUUGAUCCUGGCUCAGGACGAACGCUGGCGGCGUGCCUAAUACAUGCAAGUCGAGCGGAGUUUUGAAAAGCUUGCUUUUCAAAACUUAGCGGCGGACGGGUGAGUAACACGUGGGCAACCUGCCCUUGAGACGGGGAUAACUCCGGGAAACCGGAGCUAAUACCGGAUAACACAUAUCUUCGCAUGAGGAUAUGUUAGAAGGUGGCUUUUAGCUAC
rnacentral:rRNA from 1 species